AUGGAGUGAUAAAAAGAGACAUUUAAAAUCCCUCUGUAAAAACCUUUAACUCUAACAUGUCAACAAAAUCAAACACAUAUUUAGAACCUGGAUUUACCCAAUGUUUAGAUUGUUGUUCCGGAAAUAUUUGCGUAUUACUGCAUAUUUAAUUAGAUAAUGCCUCAUUUACGUAUUUAAACAACAUUUCAGAAAAAAUGUUUGGAUUUCCUCAUUUUUUAUUUAGAUUUUUUUUACCCUGUUCACCUGGGCUGUCUUUCCUAAAGGAAUCGUCCAUCAGACUCAGAGAGAUGUGUGACUAAAAGUGUCUGCUAGUCUGUCGUCACGUUCUGGUCUGAAUUUAUGAGGCAUAAACCAUCUCUACAUGAUCUAUAUGCUUCCAGAUGUUGAUCUGAAAUACACGUACGUGUUGUUUUUCUCCACUAUAGUUAUGUUUUUGUCUCUUAAUGUUUGUGUUUUUUUGUUUUUCCUUUUCAGGCUUUUGGAAAUGCCAAAACAGCCCAUAAUAAUAAUUCCAGCCGCUUUGGCAAGUUUAUUCAAGUCAACUAUCAGGAGAGCGGGACUGUGAGAGGAGCUUAUGUGGAGAAGUAUCUUCUGGAAAAAUCCCGACUAGUUUAUCAGGAGCACAGUGAGAGAAACUAUCAUGUGUUUUACUACCUGCUGGCCGGAGCGAGUGAAGAAGAAAGAAAAGCGUUUCAUCUCCUCAAACCAGAGGAGUAUCAUUACCUGAACCAGGACUGCUUCACGGUGGAAGGUGAAGAUCUGAAGCAUGACUUCGAGCGCCUGCAGCUGGCCAUGGAGAUGGUGGGCUUCCUGCCGGCCACCAGAAAACAAAUCUUUUCUUUACUGUCUGCGAUCCUUCUGCUGGGGAAUAUCCGUUACAAGAAGAAGACGU